rnacentral:rRNA from 1 species
ACGAACGCUGGCGGCGUGCUUAACACAUGCAAGUCACGGGGGGCCGGUAGCAAUACCGGUCAACCGGCGAACGGGUGCGUAACACGUGAGCAACCUGCCAAUCUGUGGGGGAUAGCCGGCCCAACGGCCGGGUAAUACCGCAUACGUUCAUCGAGGGACAUCCCUUGGUGAAGAAACCUCCGGGGCAGAUUGAGGGGCUCGCGUCCUAUCAGCUAGUUGGCGGGGUAAUGGCCCACCAAGGCUUCGACGGGUAGCUGGUCUGAGAGGAUGGCCAGCCACAUUGGGACUGCGACACGGCCCAGACUCCUACGGGAGGCAGCAGUGGGGAAUCUUGCGCAAUGGACGAAAGUCUGACGCAGCGACGCCGCGUGUGGGAUGAAGCUCUUCGGGGUGUAAACCACUGUUGCCAGGGAAGAAACUCCUGAUUCGUCAGGACUGACGGUACCUGGUGAGGAAGCACCGGCUAACUCUGU